rnacentral:lncRNA from 1 species
AAAAAAAAAAAAGCAUCUUUUCACCCAUUAGAGGGGCCCUAACUAGGAGGUACGAUGGCAGGCUUUGCCUCCUCUAUCAUAACUUUAAUCACACUUUAAGGAUUAUUUGAUUUUCUGACUUUCAGGAAGUCUGUGAGUGCUGCCAAGGUAGCAGAAGCCCACAUCCAUUUUGUUGAUAACUGUACCUUCAAUGCCUUCUACAGUCACUUCUACAGUGAUUUCUGGCAUAAAGUCAUAACUUUAUGCCUCAGUUCCCUCAUUAGUAAAAUGGCGAUGAGAGACCUACCUCAGUUUGUUUGUUUAUUUAUUUUAGACAGAGUCUCGUUCUGUUGCCAGCCUGGAGUACAGUGGUGCGAUCCCGGCUCACUGCAACCUCUGCCUCCCAAGUU